AACGGCCAUACCAUGCUGAAUAUACCGGUUCUCGUUAGAUCACCGAAGUCCAGCAUCAUUGGGCGCGGUCAGUACUUGGGUGGGUGACCACCUGGGAACACCGCGUGCCGUU
rnacentral:rRNA from 1 species